rnacentral:rRNA from 1 species
CCUACGGGUGGCAGCAGUGAGGAAUAUUGCUCAAUGGGCGCGAGCCUGAACCAGCCAAGUCGCGUGAAGGAUGACUGCCCUACGGGCUGUAAACUUCUUUUAUAAAGGAAUAAAGUGAGGCUCGUGUGCCUUUUUGUAUGUACUUUAUGAAUAAGGAUCGGCUAACUUCGUGCCAGCAGCCGCGGUAAUACGGAGGGUCCGAGCGUUACCCGGAUUUAUUGGGUUUAAAGUGAGCGUAGAUGGGUUGUUAAGUCAGUUGUGAAAGUUUGCGGCUCAACCGUAAAAUUGCAAUUGAUACUGGCAGUCUUGAGUGCAGUUGAGGUAGGCGGAAUUCGUGGUGUAGGAGUGAAAUGCUGAGAUAUCACGAAGAACUCCGAUGGCGAAGGCAGCUUACUAAACUGCCACUGACAUUGAUGCUCGAAAGUGUGGGUAUCAAACAGGAUUAGAUACCCCGGUAGUC